rnacentral:rRNA from 1 species
UACAGAGGUCUCAAGCGUUGUUCGGAUUCAUUGGGCGUAAAGGGUGCGUAGGCGGCGCGGUAAGUCGGGUGUGAAAUCUCGGAGCUUAACUCCGAAACUGCAUUCGAUACUGCCGUGCUUGAGGACUGGAGAGGAGACUGGAAUUUACGGUGUAGCGGUGAAAUGCGUAGAUAUCGUAAGGAAGACCAGUGGCGAAGGCGGUUCUCUGGGCCUGUGCUGACGCUGAGGAGCGAAAGCGUGGGGAGCGAACAGG